rnacentral:rRNA from 1 species
AUGGGAACGCGAAGAACCUUACCUAGACUUGACAUCUCCUGAAUAGUGUAGAGAUACAUGAAGCCCUUCGGGGCAGGAGGACAGGUGGUGCAUGGUUGUCGUCAGCUCGUGUCGUGAGAUGUUGGGUUAAGUCCCGCAACGAGCGCAACCCUUAUUACUAGUUGCUACCAUUAAGUUGAGCACUCUAGUGAGACUGCCCGGGUUAACCGGGAGGAAGGCGGGGAUGACGUCAAAUCAUCAUGCCCCUUAUGUCUAGGGCAACACACGUGCUACAAUGGUGAGUACAGAUAGAUGCGAUACCGCAAGGUGGAGCCAAACUCUAAAACUCAUCCCAGUUCGGAUUGUAGGCUGCAACUCGCCUACAUGAAGUUGGAGUUGCUAGUAAUCGCGAAUCAGAAUGUCGCGGUGAAUACGUUCCCGGGUCUUGUACACACCG